AGUAGGUGAUACUACAGGGGUCUGGGUAAAAUUAACUCAGAUACUAAAGAUUUAUUUAUGUCGCAUAGAAAAAUAAGCCCUCGAGUCCUCGAUGCCGUCCGCCGGCGAUCCAUCGCCUUCCUCCGCCUCUUCUCUCUUCCCCUUGUCUCAGAGCUCCGCAGUUGCCCUUGAUGAUGGAAGCUCUACUGAGUGACGGCAUGCUUCUCCUUGGUGACCGACAGCCCAUUUAGAAAAUUUUGUAAAUUUUGUUUAUAGUUAUAUGUGAGGAUUAAAUGAAUCAAUCCAUCUUUAUUCAUCAAUCAUGAAGAAGACAUGUUGUGCAAUUGUAAUACUUAUUAUUUGUAAGUUUUUUGUAAAAUUCACUGAUUAUUUGUUCAUUUUCCUUGAGAAACAUUUUCCCUUGAGAAACUUUUACAUCUUUCUACUCCUACGACAAGCUUGAAAUUUUGUUCCAUUCAUGAUAUUUUUCGUAUCUUACUCACUGUACCUAGCUAUACCCUAUAUUCCCUCCAGAAGUUUCAGAAUUUUCAAGAAUUUUCAAGAAUUUUCAAGAAUUGGUAUAACAUACACUGGCUAGACAACUCCUGAGUGCCGUACUUUUUUUUCUUUUUUUUUUCAUAUGAUCACGAGUUGAAUUGGCAGCAUUCUUUAUGUAGUGAGGCCCAGGGUAACGAAGGACUUGGAACUGGUUUUCUGGUGUACUAAUGGGGUUUGACUGAUCUGCUAAGAAGCACUGACACCCUAACAGAGAUGUAUCAUGAAACUUCUACGCAUGACAUGGCAGACUCACCAACCUAUAAAGCAAGAAUAGCAUGUCAAGAAAUGCGGGGUCUAAAGCGCAUGCAUGAAACACAUUUUCUAUAUAUAAAAGGAUCAGUGUUAUAUGGACCUAGUAAGUAUUUAGAGAUGAAGCAUGUGAUUCUCCUCUUAUUCUCAGGCAGUCCUGUUUGAAUCAUGGAAGAGAUGGAACUAGGUGUGCAAUCUGAUAUGGUUUUAUUCGACCAUAUUCAGAUUCAGAUUUAAAAUAACCCGAAUAUAAAAAGAAACUUUUUUACAAAGUUGAAAUCCAAAUACGGAUAUCUCUUCCGUUUCUAUUUUUUUAUUUUGUGAAUACAUGUGUGUAUCCAAAUAGCAUCCAAAUACCUAAUAUGUUCUUAAUUCAUCUAUAAAUAAUAUUUUGAGAAAGCUAUCACAUCCAUUUCGUACCAAGUUGACCAUGAUGUAUAAUGCAAACAUCCUAGAAGAAUUUAUAGGUAGUGAAUAUCGACAUAUAUUCUUUCAAUUAGUUAGAGAAAUUCAUAUGACAAAUUUUGUUGCGAGAAUAGUUGAUGACAUAUUGAUAAUUUUAUUUUCUUGCAUAUUUUCUUAUAAAUAACUACAUUUAUGAACUACACCAUUCCUAUUCAUUUCAUAGAUAUUUGUAUCAUAUCAGUUAAUAUAUUUGGAAAUAUAAUAAUGAUUUCAUGACUAUUAGUAUCGAGAUAUAAAUUCUUAUGUGAAUAAUAAAAAAUACAUUUCAUUUGCAUCUUUAGAUUGAAUGCUUGAAGUUUUUUUGAUGGUAUGCAAAAGUUUCACUUACCUGGAAUGUUGUUCUCCUCCAUUGCUAUAGACAAGCUAACUCUUUUGUGGUGAUUAUCUAGCAAAUCCUGCAUCUUAGGAUGAUAAUCAGGUAAUGACAUUUCUAUGUCUCAUUUCAUCAGGAUUUGGGGCUGAGAGGAUUUGCAUGCGGUAGUUGGGCGUCCUGACUAAGUACAGUUUUUGUUCAAUUUUCUUUUCAUAUUUGUAUUUUCAGUGGAAAGAGGGGGAGAGAGUGUUGAGGAAAAUAGUAUCUGGAAAUGGUUGUUAGCUAAACGUACACUCCAAUAACUGGAUUAUAAAUCACUUUAUUCUUCAUAUUUGUAUUUUCAGUGGAAUCCUAACAUUAGUAGGUUUAUGUACAUUGAAGGGGUGUCUAAUGCUAAUUCAAUGGUCCUAACAUCUUGCUCUUUAUUGAGACAAUUUUAUCAUUCUCCAUAGCCCAUACUCCGAUGCUGUAAAAGGUUAUUUGUUGUUGUUCUGGAUUUUUAAUUUUUAAUUUUUAAUUGUUUUUGACAAUACCUUCUGGAUUGGGCCCUUCAAAUAUUUCCUAGUUAGAUAACAUAUAUGGGUUACGGAACGUCUUCAACUUACUACUCCUCUGUCACAAAUACAUGUACCAGUUUUCCUCAUGUUUGCCCGACAGAGUUAUUUUAGUAGUCUGAUAAUUUCAUUAAUCAUUUGUUAUGUUCAAAAGUCAUUGGUAUCUUGGUAAUUAGCAAAUGCAUACCUUUUUAGGAUUUGAAUAUAUGAGUGUUUGUGAGGUUGAUGCUUCUUAUGAGGCCAAAUAAAACGAGUUCUCGGUUGGAGGAGUUGGAGGAGGGGGCUAUAGUAGGCCAUUUAUUUUAUUUUUCUUUACAACAGUAUGACUAAGUACCAUGCAAGAGACAUCAUUUAGAGGACCUGUUCAUGAUGGGGAGAACAAAUGCAAUUUAGAGGAUCUUGUUUCCCUAGCAUCUUGAUGGGGUGAGGACAGGACUCAUAUUUCCUCUUCUCAGUGACAAGGGGGAAAAAGACAUAGCAAGAAACUCACCCACUACAUAGUGAUCUGCAGUAGAGCAAUUACUGAGCAAAUAUUUUUAAGAUCAUGGAUCUCUGGUUUUGAGUGAGAUAUUUCUGCAGCUAACUUUAUUUGGUAACUGAUAUCUCUUUCUUAUUCUACAACACGAGCACGUUCUCAUGUGAGGUAUGUUUACGAUAUUUCUGGCAGUUUCGGAGUAUAUAUUCCUUAUAAUGCCACAAGUAUACAUGACUUCAUUCGCAACACAUCAACAUAAAAACUCUUGUUUCAUCAAACCAUGCACUUACCGCGGAUACCUACUUCCUACUCUUGACAAGUCUAAACUCGUUAGGUGGUAGACUUAAAUGGAUGGUAUGACUUGAGGUCCAGAAGGACUCCA